rnacentral:rRNA from 1 species
CAGCAGCCGCGGUAAUACGAGGGGAGCUAGCGUUGUUCGGAAUUACUGGGCGUAAAGCGCGCGUAGGCGGCUUUUUAAGUCAGAGGUGAAAGCCCGGGGCUCAACCCCGGAAUUGCCUUUGAAACUGGAAAGCUAGAAUCUUGGAGAGGUCAGCGGAAUUCCGAGUGUAGAGGUGAAAUUCGUAGAUAUUCGGAAGAACACCAGUGGCGAAGGCGACUGACUGGACAAGUAUUGACGCUGAGGUGCGAAAGCGUGGGGAGCAAACAGGAUUAGAUACCCCGGUAGUCCCUGUCUCUUAUAA